rnacentral:rRNA from 1 species
UUAAUUGAAGAGUUUGAUCAUGGCUCAGAUUGAACGCUGGCGGCAGGCCUAACACAUGCAAGUCGAGCGGUAGCACAGGAGAGCUUGCUCUCUGGGUGACGAGCGGCGGACGGGUGAGUAAUGUCUGGGAAACUGCCUGAUGGAGGGGGAUAACUACUGGAAACGGUAGCUAAUACCGCAUAACGUCUUCGGACCAAAGUGGGGGACCUUCGGGCCUCACGCCAUCAGAUGUGCCCAGAUGGGAUUAGCUAGUAGGUGGGGUAAUGGCUCACCUAGGCGACGAUCCCUAGCUGGUCUGAGAGGAUGACCAGCCACACUGGAACUGAGACACGGUCCAGACUCCUACGGGAGGCAGCAGUGGGGAAUAUUGCACAAUGGGCGCAAGCCUGAUGCAGCCAUGCCGCGUGUGUGAAGAAGGCCUUCGGGUUGUAAAGCACUUUCAGCGAGGAGGAAGGGCAGUGUGUUAAUAGCACAUUGCAUUGACGUUACUCGCAGAAGAAGCACCGGCUAACUCCGUGCCAGCAGCCGCGGUAAUACGGAGGGUGCAAGCGUUAAUCGGAAUUACUGGGCGUAAAGCGCACGCAGGCGGUUUGUUAAGUCAGAUGUGAAAUCCCCGCGCUUAACGUGGGAACUGCAUUUGAAACUGGCAAGCUAGAGUCUUGUAGAGGGGGGUAGAAUUCCAGGUGUAGCGGUGAAAUGCGUAGAGAUCUGGAGGAAUACCGGUGGCGAAGGCGGCCCCCUGGACAAAGACUGACGCUCAGGUGCGAAAGCGUGGGGAGCAAACAGGAUUAGAUACCCUGGUAGUCCACGCUGUAAACGAUGUCGACUUGGAGGUUGUGCCCUUGAGGCGUGGCUUCCGGAGCUAACGCGUUAAGUCGACCGCCUGGGGAGUACGGCCGCAAGGUUAAAACUCAAAUGAAUUGACGGGGGCCCGCACAAGCGGUGGAGCAUGUGGUUUAAUUCGAUGCAACGCGAAGAACCUUACCUACUCUUGACAUCCAGAGAAUUCGCUAGAGAUAGCUUAGUGCCUUCGGGAACUCUGAGACAGGUGCUGCAUGGCUGUCGUCAGCUCGUGUUGUGAAAUGUUGGGUUAAGUCCCGCAACGAGCGCAACCCUUAUCCUUUGUUGCCAGCACGUAAUGGUGGGAACUCAAAGGAGACUGCCGGUGAUAAACCGGAGGAAGGUGGGGAUGACGUCAAGUCAUCAUGGCCCUUACGAGUAGGGCUACACACGUGCUACAAUGGCGUAUACAAAGAGAAGCGAACUCGCGAGAGCCAGCGGACCUCAUAAAGUACGUCGUAGUCCGGAUCGGAGUCUGCAACUCGACUCCGUGAAGUCGGAAUCGCUAGUAAUCGUAGAUCAGAAUGCUACGGUGAAUACGUUCCCGGGCCUUGUACACACCGCCCGUCACACCAUGGGAGUGGGUUGCAAAAGAAGUAGGUAGCUUAACCUUCGGGAGGGCGCUUACCACUUUGUGAUUCAUGACUGGGGUGAAGUCGUAACAAGGUAACCGUAGGGGAACCUGCGGUUGGAUCACCUCCUUACCU